AGAACGAACGCUGGCGGCAGGCUUAACACAUGCAAGUCGAGCGCUGUAGCAAUACAGAGCGGCGCACGGGUGAGUAACACGUGGGAACGUGCCCAAUGGUUCGGAAUAACUCAGGGAAACUUGAGCUAAUACCGGAUGAGCCCUAACGGGGAAAGAUUUAUCGCCAUUGGAGCGGCCCGCGCCCGAUUAGCUAGUUGGUGAGGUAAUGGCUCACCAAGGCAACGAUCGGUAGCUGGUCUGAGAGGACGACCAGCCACACUGGGACUGAGACACGGCCCAGACUCCUACGGGAGGCAGCAGUGGGGAAUCUUGGACAAUGGGGGAAACCCUGAUCCAGCCAUGCCGCGUGAGUGAUGAAGGCCCUAGGGUUGUAAAACUCUUUCGGCGGGACGAUAAUGACGGUACCGCAGAAGAGCCCGGCUAACUUCGUGCCAGCAGCCGC
rnacentral:rRNA from 1 species